rnacentral:rRNA from 1 species
UACGUAGGGGCAAGCGUUGGUCCGGAUUUAUUGGGCGUAAAGAGCGUGUAGGCGGCCAGGUAGGUCCGUUGUGAAAACUGGAGGCUUAACCUCCAGCGGUCGAUGGAAACCAUCUGGCUAGAGUCCGGAAGAGGAGAGUGGAAUUCCUGGUGUAGCGGUGAAAUGCGCAGAUAUCAGGAAGAACACCCGUGGCGAAGGCGGCUCACUGGACCAUAACUGACGCUGAGGCGCGAAAGCUAGGGGAGCAAACAGG